rnacentral:rRNA from 1 species
UACGUAGGCAGCGAGCGUUGUUCGGAAUUACUGGGCGUAAAGAGUGUGUAGGCGGUGCUCUAAGUUCGGUGUGAAACCUCCUGGCUCAACUGGGAGGGUGCGCCGGAAACUGGAGUGCUUGAGCGUGGGAGAGGAAAGCGGAAUUCCUGGUGUAGCGGUGAAAUGCGUAGAUAUCAGGAGGAACACCUGUGGUGUAGACGGCUUUCUGGACCAUAGCUGACGCUGAGACACGAAAGCGUGGGUAGCAAACAGG